rnacentral:rRNA from 1 species
UACGUAGGCAGCGAGCGUUGUUCGGAGUUACUGGGCGUAAAGGGUGUGUAGGCGGUUGUUUAAGUUUGGUGUGAAAUCUCCCGGCUCAACUGGGAGGGUGCGCCGAAUACUGAAUGACUUGGAGUGUGGGAGAGGUGAGUGGAAUUCCUGGUGUAGCGGUGAAAUGCGUAGAUAUCAGGAGGAACACCGGUGGUGAAGGCGGUUCUCUGGGAAUAUCCUGACGCUGAGGAGCGAAAGUGUGGGGAGCGAACAGG